rnacentral:lncRNA from 1 species
UUUGAUGCAGGCUUCCUAUUCUGUUGCUUGGCAUUACCUCAUGCAAGAAGGGUUUUGUUCAUAACCAAAGGCUUAGAAACUCUUUUCCAUUUAAAUAUAGAGCUGAUAUGUUGCUAGAUGCACCACCUAAGCACUUCCAGAUGUUAGAGUAUCACCUAUCACCUCUAAGGAGCUGGCAAUUUACAUUUUUUACUUUUCCAAAUUAUAGCAUGAUGAUACAAUACUGAUAAUUCACAUGCACAGCACGGAAUUAUUUAUGACAUAGCAAAAUAUACACCAUAAAAUGCUAUAAAAAUUAUACUUUGGCAUUUAGAUUAUUGGAUUACUUCUUAUAGCUUUUCUAGUAGAUAGUAUACAUUUUGAAACAUGCUACUGCUGAUGAUUGCAAUCUAAUCCACAAACUAUCAUGUUAUAGGGUAGCCAAAUUCUUAACAAUGACAGGUAACUAAUUUUUGCAUGACUUACCAGUUUUGUCAUUCUUAUUAUUUCAUAAUUAAUAAUUUUUAAAAAUAUUUUAUGUUUGAUAUGCAUUGUGUUUAGUGAAUUGAUAAAUUUUAUCAAUUUUUGUUGUCUAAUAGGGUACUACACCAUGCUGACUUGUCAUGCAUUAUGGUGAUAUGCAGAAAUAUAGGCUAACACAACCCGGCUGUCAAUGAUAGGGGCCGAUACAUGUACAGACCCAUGUCACUAACCUUGUGAAGGGGUAUUCACCGUAUGACAUAAAAUCAUACUGAUCGUUGUAUUUAGUAACACCUUUUAUCAAUGUUAGACAGGAAACCUAGCGCUUUAUGUCAAUAAAAGACUGACAAUAGUCCUAAAGUGUGCUAGAAGAAAUAAUAUGCUUACAAAUUUAAUCAUUUGUUGAAGUAAGAAUUACCAUGCCGUUCAGUCUACAGGGAAAUGUCAAUUUUCAGAUAGUCUGAUUUUAUUGUGCAAUAUGCUGCAUACUGUUGACUGUCUAGAAAUGCCCUAUUUUAAAAUCAAGUCGUCUUAGAGAUAUGUUUUUCUUAUGCCCCUCAUCCGCACCUCCCCAACAGAAAAAAAAAAGCAAAGAAAGAAAACCCACCCACCCCAUUUUGAAUAAGUUAUUAUGAUUUGAUUGAAUACCUAUGCAAAUAUUCAAUAUAAAUUUAAUCUAUUUAUUGUAGGUUAAUUAGCCUUUUAUUUUCUAAAAAAAGAAUUUAAUUUGGAAUGCCUAAAGGAAAAGGAAAGGAAAUUUUUUAGAAGAAAGAAGACGAGAGAAGAGCAGAGAAUAAAAGAAUAAACAAAAACAACAAGAACGAAUGUAAGAUGAUAGUUCAAAAAGAAACUAUGAAAUUGUUAGAUAAGAAUUACAUAGAAAGUUUCUUUUCAAAAGUCUGGUACUUUUCAUCCCAUUGUAGAACUUUAGAACAUUUAUUUAAUCUCCUGAAUCAAGAGAUUGUUUUUUAUUUAUGACAAUGCUCCAUAUCUUCUAUGAAUAAAAGUUGGAUUUUGCAAUCCACAAACAUUAAAAUGAUUAUGCAAUAGCAUGUUAUUGUAGAAGUUUCUUUCCAAGUUGCUUUAUAAGUUCUGUCGUUGUAUCGUUCUUCUUGUUGAAGAUUGAGCUGAUUUGGUUAUUUGAAAUUUGUGCAGGCAUCAUAUCCAGGGCUACCCAUCUAUUCGCAUUUUCCGCAGGGGGAAUGAUAUUAAG